rnacentral:rRNA from 1 species
CCUACGGGCGGCAGCAGUGAGGAAUAUUGGUCAAUGGGCGCGAGCCUGAACCAGCCAAGUCGCGUGAGGGAGGCCGGCCCUACGGGUUGUAAACCUCUUUUGCCGGGGAGCAACGGGCGUCACGUGUGGCGCCACUGAGAGUACCCGGAGAAAAAGCAUCGGCUAACUCGGUGCCAGCAGCCGCGGUAAUACGGAGGAUGCGAGCGUUAUCCGGAUUUAUUGGGUUUAAGGGGUGCGUAGGCGGAUCGUUAAGUCCGUGGUCAAAUGGAGGGGCUCAACCCCUUCCCGCCAUUGAAACUGGCGUUCUUGAGUGGAAGAGAAGUAUGCGGAAUGCGUGGUGUAGCGGUGAAAUGCAUAGAUAUCACGCAGAACCCCGAUUGCGAAGGCAGCAUGUCGGCUUCCGACUGACGCGGAAGCACGAAAGCGUGGGGAUCGAACAGGAUUAGAUACCCUGGUAGUC